rfam:Triticum aestivum genome assembly, contig: Triticum_aestivum_CS42_TGACv1_scaffold_221338_3B
GAAGUACUCCCUUCGUCCGGAAAUACUUGUCGUAGAAAUGAAUGUAUCUACACCUAUUUUAGCUUUAGAUACAUCAAUUUUUAUUCAUUUCUAGGACAAGUAUUUUCGAACGGAGGGAGUAUCUG